CCUACGGGCGGCAGCAGUGAGGAAUAUUGGGCAAUGGGCGCGAGCCUGAACCAGCCAAGUAGCGUGAAGGAUGAAUGCACUAAGGGUUGUAAACUUCUUUUAUAAAGGAAUAAAGAGAGGCACGUGUGCCCUUUUGUAUGUACUUGAAGAAUAAGGAUCGGCUAACUCCGUGCCAGCAGCCGCGGUAAUACGGAGGAUCCGAGCGUUAUCCGGAUUUAUUGGGUUUAAAGGGAGCGUAGAUGGGUUGUUAAGUCAGUUGUGAAAGUUUGCGGCUCAACCGUAAAAUUGCAAUUGAUACUGGCAGUCUUGAGUUCAGUUGAGGUAGGCGGAAUUCGUGGUGUAGCGGUGAAAUGCUUAGAUAUCACGAAGAACUCCGAUUGCGAAGGCAGCUUACUAGCCUGCCACUGACAUUGAGGCUCGAAAGUGUGGGUAUCAAACAGGAUUAGAUACCCUUGUAGUC
rnacentral:rRNA from 1 species